rnacentral:misc_RNA from 1 species
AAUACCAAGUCUGCCAACGGU